CUGCAACCCGCCUGCAUGAAGUCGGAAUUGCUAGUAAUCGCGGAUCAGCAUGCCGCGGUGAAUACGUUCCCGGGCCUUGUACACACCGCCCGUCACACCAUGGGAGCCGGUAAUACCCGAAGUCAGUAGUCCAACCUCGUGAGGACGCUGCCGAAGGUAGGAUUGGCGACUGGGGUGAAGUCGUAACAAGGUACC
rnacentral:rRNA from 1 species